UGAGCAACCUGCCCCUGGCUCUGGGAUAACCCCGGGAAACCGGAGCUAAUACCGGAUACGAGACCGAUUGGCAUCUAUACGGUCUGGAAAGUUUUUCGGCCAGGGAUGGGCUCGCGGCCUAUCAGCUUGUUGGUGGGGUAAUGGCCCACCAAGGCGACGACGGGUAGCCGGCCUGAGAGGGUGACCGGCCACACUGGGACUGAGACACGGCCCAGACUCCUACGGGAGCA
rnacentral:rRNA from 1 species